AUUGAACGCUGGCGGCAGGCCUAACACAUGCAAGUCGAGCGAGCGGCGGACGGGUGAGUAAUGUCUGGGAAUCUGCCUGAUGGAGGGGGAUAACUACUGGAAACGGUAGCUAAUACCGCGUACCAUCAGAUGAGCCCAUAGGGGAUUAGCUGGUUGGUGAGGUAACGGCUCACCAAGGCGACGAUCUCUAGCUGGUCUGAGAGGAUGACCAGCCACACUGGGACUGAGACACGGCCCAGACUCCUACGGGAGGCAGCAGUGGGGAAUAUUGCACAAUGGGAGCAAGCCUGAUGCAGCCAUGCCGCGUGUAUGAAGAAGGCCUUAGGGUUGUAAAGUACUUUCAGCGGGGAGGCGUUACCCGCAGAAGAAGCACCGGCUAACUCCGUGCCAGCAGCCGCGGUAAUUC
rnacentral:rRNA from 1 species